rnacentral:rRNA from 1 species
GGGAGGCAGCAGUGGGGAAUUUUCCGCAAUGGGCGAAAGCCUGACGGAGCAAUCUGGCGUGAGGGAUGACGGCCUAUGGGUUGUAAACCUCUUUUUUCAGGGAGGAAUAAAAUGACUGUACCUGAAGAAUAAGCAUCGGCUAACUCCGUGCCAGCAGCCGCGGUAAGACGGAGGAUGCAAGUGUUAUCCGGAAUCACUGGGCGUAAAGCGUCUGUAGGUGGUUUAAUAAGUCAACUGUUAAAUCUUGAGGCUCAACCUCAAAAUCGCAGUCGAAACUAUUAGGCUAGAGUAUAGUAGGGGUAAAGGGAAUUUCCAGUGGAGCGGUGAAAUGCGUAGAGAUUGGAAAGAACACCGAUGGCGAAGGCACUUUACUGGGCUAUUACUAACACUCAGAGACGAAAGCUAGGGUAGCAAAUGGGAUUAGAUACCCCAGUAGUCCU